GUUUAAGCCGCCGCGGUAAAACGUAGGAGACAAACGUUAUCCGGAGUUACUGGGCGUAAAGGGCGUGUAGGCGGACUGUUAAGUCUGGCGUGAAAGCUCCCGGCUAAACCGGGAGAGGUCGUUGGAUACUGGCAGACUAGAGGGUGGUAGAGGCGUGUGGAAUUCCGGGUGUAGUGGUGAAAUGCGUAGAGAUCCGGAGGAACACCAGUGGCGAAGGCGACACGCUGGGCCAUACCUGACGCUAAAGCGCGACAGCAUGGGGAGCAAACGGGAUUAGAAACCCUGGUAGUCC
rnacentral:rRNA from 1 species